rnacentral:tRNA from 1 species
GGUAGAAUGGCCGAAAAAAUUUAGGCAAUAAACUGUAAAUUUAUUUAUAAAGAAUAUUCUUUUUUUACC